AUUGAACGCUAGCGGCAUGCUUAACACAUGCAAGUCGAACGGUAACAGGUCUAGCUUGCUAGAUGCUGACGAGUGGCAGACAGGUGAGUAACGCGUAGGAAUCUACCUAAUAGUGGGGAAUAACUUGGGGAAACUCAAGCUAAUACCGCAUAAUCCCUAAGGGGAAAAGCAGGGGACCGAAAGGCCUUGCGCUAAUAGAUGAGCCUGCGUCGGAGUAGCUAGUUGGUGGGGUAAAGGCCUACCGAGGCGAAGAUCCGUAGCUGGUCUGAGAGGACGACCAGCCACACUGGGACUGAGACACGGCCCAGACUCCUACGGGAGGCAGCAGUGGGGAAUAUUGGACAAUGGGCGCAAGCCUGAUCCAGCAAUGCCGCGUGUGUGAAGAAGGCCUGCGGGUUGUAAAGCACUUUCAGUGGGGAGGAAGGCCUUGGUGUUAAUAACACUGAGGAUUGACGUUACCCACAGAAGAAGCACCGGCUAACUCUGUGCCAGCCGCCGCGGUAAAAC
rnacentral:rRNA from 1 species